rnacentral:lncRNA from 1 species
CCCGAUCCUCACUCGAUCCAAGGCUAAACCAACUUUCAUACACGAUCAGACAAUUUAGAUGUGGGGGUUAGAGGAAAACAAACCACAAAGCACACACGCAAAGAUAGCAAAGGGGCCUUAGCCCAAUUUCACUAAACAGUCUAGAUGUGUACAAGCCACGGUUCCUCUUUCACCGAGGCCGGGCAAGGGGUUUUACAGCCCCACUAUACAUUUGAAACUACACGUGGAGCUCAUGCACCACGCCAUGGGCUGUUGGCUCAGCCUCAGCCUCGGCCGCGUCUAGCUUGAGACUUAGUCUUGCGCCCUAUCCUGCGCGCCUAGCGUGCCAGCUCGACACAACCGCCUAAUGUGCCGGCCCCGUGUCUCACGCCCAUCUCACAUGCCAGCUCUUCACGCCCCUUCCGUGUGAUCAUCCCGCGUCUUAUGCCCCAUCCACGUGCUGCAACAUCCCGCAACUCACACCUCUGCAACUCACGCCCCGUCCGCAUGCUCCACCGUCAAGUCGGCCUGGCCAUCUGAGCACUUGUUGGGUCGUCACGACCUGCCAGAGUCGUCCCAUCCGAUUCCCACAUACCUGGUCCUGAGGCGUGUCCGCACCUAGAGCCCAACUAGCACAACUUAGUCUUAGGCAGCACAAACCUUAGACCAAGGCCAUGCAGCACCACCAAGCUGCCCCACGUGCCUGCACCAUGAAUCCAUCACACCUUCAGCAGUCUUACUUACACAAGGCACCUGUACCACGCUGCCUUCAUCACACAUACAGGUUGCCUGGGCUUGGCAUGCCUCUUGCACUCAGCCACUUUGCCUCACACCCUUGUGCACACAAGGCUGCCUGCCUAGCCGCAGGCCGGCCUGCCUUUUACCUGCAAACGCCAAGCUGCACGCACCCUGUGCACCUGGCUGCAUGCACCAGCUCGGUGCUUAUGGAAAAGGGGCCUGACAAGCCUCCCCCAACUAAACUUCGACGUCCUCGUCGGACGCUUCACCCUUCGCUAGGUCCCCAUAAAUCUAACUCAGAAUAUGGCCUCCACUUAGCCCACUUUAAUAGGUUCACUUGCCUCCAAGCCCUACUCGUUCACUUGGCCAGUACCGUCUGCUGCUACCAAGCUGAAUUCGUCCUUAAGACGCCUGCCUCUCACUGGGUCCCCAUAAAACGCCGGUUCAAGGCAACGCCUCAAGACACUCCACCAAGCCAUGGCUCGACAAGGUCUACUGCUAUCACUAAGUCUUCGGCUUGCCUACUUAGCCAGAUCCACUGCUGCCACCAAGUAGUCAGCCCUCUUGGCCAGGUCCACUGCUGCCACCAAGUUCUUGUUUAUGCACCAGGUCAGGUCCUUCGCUGCCACCAAAUGCAAAGGUUUGUGACCAGUUCCGAGGCUGCCACCACGACCCAUGUCGCCUCCUGUAACUUCAGGACUUCUCUACAGCCUGCUCGCAGGUCGUCUAAUGUCUACGAUAUUCAUACAUGACGCCGAACUUCCUCUUUAUGGCACCAUUAGGGCAAGGUUGAUCACACCUUCUACUAGCCGAUGAUGUCGUACCCUCCGAUGAGUCAGAGGGUAUCUCCCAUCGAAUAGAUGAGUCAAAUGAUGCUUCCAUCUGACCCACCUUCACCACCGCUAGGGCUCUCCUGAUGGCUCCACUUGAGUUAUCACUGGACUCCUCUGAGUCUAUGCACAACUUGGUCUCCUCCCUAGCUUGUGGGUUGGUCGAACUGAGCUGCAUGGCAUUCAUUAAGUUCAAUGAACCCAACUUCACUUGGGUUCACUCGUCCUCAUGUAUGAGGUUCACCGCGUUGAAGGCCUACUUUUGUGGGUAAUCCCUCACUUGAUGGUCGCCUCUGCAUCUGAAGCAGCUUGAGAAGCCCUUUUGGAGUGCCUCCUCCUCUUGAGCGACCCCCUUCUCGGGUAUGGUCCACCUAUCGCGUACCACCUUCUCGCCAUUCUCCCUCAAUGGCCCUCCUUCGUGGUUUUGACUCCACCGCCCCAUGAAAGUUCAAAUCAACUAGGUCCUCAACUGCCGCCAUGGCUGUGGGCAAGUCCCUCAUGUCUUGCCUCCUUAACUAGGCCUGGGCCUAACUCUGCUGCUCAGACACAAAGUUAAAUAGCUGGUAUUCCUCAAACUCGUUCACGUAUUCACACACCGAGGCCGACUGUCGAAGCUUUUGCAAAGCCUUGCAGGCCACCCAGGCAACAUUGCCCUGCAAGAACUGCAUCUUCCCAAGAGCUCACCUUGGGCCUUGAAGCAUCAGCCACCCGCAUCCUCUACCAGCGAGGUACAUGGCGCAGACCGCCACACGAUCUUUUUCAUAGGCAUGAGAAGCUUCAAAAUACUGCUCCAUGUCUCAUAAGAAGUUCUCGACCACCUUCGAGUCGUGCUGGCCUUCUAACACUCGAGGCUCUGAUACUCUCACAUUACGAGAUCCCAGCCCUCCGCUAGUUCUCCCAAGGGCGCUCUUGAUCAACAACAAAUCAUCUUGCAUGGACUCGAGCCAUGAGGUGAAAGACUCUGUGAAGGCCUUGACAUCGUCUAUGAGCUCUCCCAUAUGAGCAUCACAGACUCCGCAUCACUCCUCCACCACACCAAACCAGUCCUCCAAGACGGGCAAGGUUUACACCCAACCCUCCAUCUUGGCCUCCUUGGGUAAGUUCCUCCAAUCUCAUAUCUAGAGUUCCCGCACACUCACGCAGGUCGUCCAUCCCACCAUCCAUGCGCAAGGCUUGCUCUGAUACCAGCUGUCACGGGUCACUUUUUUUGCAUUCCACACAUCCGUCAUCUGGCCCUGAUCCUCACUCGAUCCAAGGCUAGAUCAGCCUUCACACACGAUCACACAAUCUAGAAGGUGGGGGUUAGAAGAAAACUAAUCACAAAGCACAUACACAAAAAUAGCAAAGGGCCUCAGCCCAAUUUCACUAAACAGUUUAAAAUGUGUACAAGCCAUGGUUCCUCUUUGGCAAGGGGGUUUUAUAGCCUCACUAUUCAUUUGAUACUCCAACACGUGGAGCCCAUCUACCACACGAUGGGCAGCUGGCUGCCCACUUGCCAUCCACCUCACAAUUGGUUAUGGCCUCACGUGCCAGCUCGUCACACCCCGUCUGCGUGAUCAUCCCAUGUCUCACGCAACGCCCCGUCCACGUGCUGCAACAUUCCACAACUCAUGCCCCGCAACGUCCUGCAACUCACACCCCAUCCGCGUGCUCCACCGUCAAGUCGGCAUGGCCAUCUGAGCGCUCGUUGAGUCGUCACACCCGGCUCACACAUACCUGACCCACCUGACCAAGUCUCACUAAGUCUGGCCCUCACGCUAUCCUGGCCUUGUGGUCUCUGCCAUGUCGGGGCAAGUCCGAGUCUUACGCCCUGGUCUUCGGCCUCCGAUCAUGGAUGUCAUGCCACAUCACCCACCAAAGGGGGCGUGGCGUUUGAAUUUGAAUGGGGCGCCUUCCCACUCAGGCACCCACUCAACCCGCAGCCUACCUUCUGCAAGGGCAGACGCACCUGCCCAGCCACAGGUGCACGGCUUGUCCUUGUGCAAGGUCCACCUAACCUAGUCACCACGUCGAGCCCUUUGCUUGUGCGCACCAUCUCUCACACACAUACCUGCCCAGCCACAGGUACACGGCUCACCUAGGCCCAUGGUCCACUUGACAAUGUUCACCAGGUUGAAUCCCCUAGUUGAGCCCACUUCAAGCCUCCACAGGUGUCUGCCCACCUAGACGGAGCCUUGUCCACUGCUAGCCACCCAUGACCCAAGGCUCUCCCACUCCCCUCAAUUAUAGUAGUAUCAAAAUCCCUGGUCCUGAGGCGUGUCCGCACCUAGAGCCCAACUAGCACAACUUAGUCUUAGGCAGCACGACCCUUACACCAAGGCCGUGCAGCCCCACCAAGCUGCCCCAAGUGCAUACCCAACCCCGCCAAGCUUGAUCCAUACGCCGCCUCAGCCCCAUUGGGCUGAUCCACCCAAGUUGAACUGCACCAAGUCGACCUGCACCAUGCAUCCAUCGCACCUUCAGCAGUCUUACUUGCACAAGGCACCUGCACCAGGUUGCCUUCAUCACACACACAAGUUGCCUAGGCUUAGCAUGCCUCUUGCACUCACCCACUCUGCCUUGACCCUUGUGCAUAUUGGGCUGCCUGCCUAGCCACAGGCCUGCCUUUUACCUGCACACGCCAAGCUGCAUGCACCCCGUGCACCUGGUUGCAUGCACCAACUCGGUGCUUAGGGAAAAAGGGCCGGACAAUAGUUCAAUAGGAAAUAGUUGAUUUUUAAGGGAAUGUUUUGGUACUCUUGAAAAUAAUUAUGUAAAAAGUAUUUUCAAGUGAAAAAAAAUUCCUUUGCGUCAAUUGGUACGGGAGUUUUUUCAUAUCAAAUAGCUAUCAAUUAGUGUCAAAAAAUGCAUUAUGACCGAUUGGCGUGAAAUAACUCUUAUGCCUAGUCAUAUGAGAGAGAUUUUUCGAUUGAAAAUACUUUCAUAAAAGUAUUUUGUGCGUAUUAAACGUGCCCUAAUAAAAUAAAAAAAAAAAACACUAUUACAUUUGAAAUAUUGGUAUGAGAGACGCUUUGGAAACUUAAGGCAAACCCCAAACGGGUGUUCUGUUCAAGGGAAUUAACCAAGUGAACAAAUGCUUGAGCUCACCAUAGACUUCAAGCAAGGCCCGUAUGCGGUGGUCCUGCUAGGACAACAGGCACAUAAGGUGGGACCCUGUCAACCUGAAACUUUUUUGCAUCAUUGAUCUGCCUUGUGAUCAAUUUCAGAGAAGGAUGAUUGUGCUCAAAAUCCACAUAUCUUCCUUUAACGUUCAUAAAAAAUGGGUGGUCCAAAUUCAGCCUUGAGAGGGAAUUUUGAUAGAGCAUUUUUAUAAACCCUCAAAUCAUUUCUAUUUAAACAAAAAAAAUCCUCCAGAGUGAGAUUAAGAGGAAUUGGAAAUUUCACAGGACAAAAUCUCCCUACCUCACAUUUUUUGCAGUAGGGCAAAAUGUUCAACCUCGUCUUAUGGACCAGAACUCCCCUCCCAAUGUACUCGUCUUAGCAUCAUUUUUUAGAGGGAUUGUAUACAAUGAGACCAUCAACCUUUAGUAUUAGAGGAUCUCAAUUUUUUAUAAUCAUCCGACAUAAAAUCUAAUAAUUUGGGUGUAUCACAAACUACAGCCAUCUAAUUUCACAUCCAACGGUCAAGAUUAAUUUUGACCAUCUUAUACCAAAGGUAAAUUGUCUCGUUGUAUAUUUUUUCUUCUUUAUAAACUUUGUUGAAAGAGGACAGCCAAAAUUCUCGAUACAAAUACAAGCCGGAAGUAGAUUCUCA